rnacentral:rRNA from 1 species
UACGUAGGGGGCUAGCGUUGUCCGGAUUUAUUGGGCGUAAAGAGCGUGUAGGCGGCCAGGUAGGUCUGGUGUGAAAACUCGAGGCUUAACCUUGAGAUGUCAUCGGAAACCAUUUGGCUAGAGUCCGGAAGAGGAAAGUGGAAUUCCGCGUGUAGUGGUGAAAUGCGUAGAGAUGCGGAGGAACACCAGUGGCGAAAGCGGCUUCCUGGACCAGUACCGACGUCAGGCACGAAAGCGUGGGGAGCAAACAGG